CACAGAUGCACGGCUUCACUCUCAUCGCCAUCCUCUGUUUCAGUGGUGGACUCUGGGUCGGAGCCCGAGCAGGUUGCUGUGCUGGUUGGACCCAAUUCGGUGAUCGCUGCUACCAGUAUGUUCCCACAUCGGCAGACUUUGUGACUGCAGAGGCUGACUGCAUCAGCAAGGGAGGGAAUCUGGUCACGGUUCGGACUAAAGCUGAGCUGAUUAAGAUACGAGAAUACAUCCGAAGACUAACUGGGAAAGACAC